CCCUAGGAAUACCGAAAGCGAAGGCGAUCUCCUGGAACAUAACUGACGCUAAGGCGUGAAAGCGUGGGGAGCAAACAGGAUUAGAUACCCCUGGUAGUCCACGCCCUAAACGAUGAACACUAGUCGUCGGGAUGCUAGUCAUCUCGGUGAUGCACUUAACAGAUUAAGUGUUCCGCCUGGGGAGUACGGUCGCAAGAUUAAAACUCAAAGGAAUAGACGGGGACCCGCACAAGUGGUGGAGCAUGUGGUUUAAUUCGAAGAUACGCGAAGAACCUUACCUAGCCUUGACAUUGAAAGAAUCUUCCAGAGAUGGAGGAGUGCCCUUCGGGGAGCUUGAAAACAGGUGCUGCAUGGCUGUCGUCAGCUCGUGUCGUGAGAUGUUGGGUUAAGUCCCGCAACGAGCGCAACCCUCGUCCUUAGUUGCCAGCACAUCAAGGUGGGCACUCUAAGGAGACUGCCUGGGUAACCAGGAGGAAGGUGAGGACGACGUCAAGUCAUCAUGGCCCUUAUGUCCAGGGCGACACACGUGCUACAAUGGCAUGUACAAUGAGACGCAAUACCGCGAGGUGGAGCAAAUCUAAAAAACAUGUCCCAGUUCGGAUUGCACUCUGCAACUCGAGUGCAUGAAGUUGGAAUCGCUAGUAAUCGUAGAUCAGCCAUGCUACGGUGAAUACGUUCCCGGGUCU
rnacentral:rRNA from 1 species